GCCAUCUUCAUCCAUAUCACCAUAAACGAGGAUAAUUUCACCCGUCUUAAAACACAAUUCCACUUGCUAGAAAGCAGGGUAUUUAUAGUGAGUCAUAGAGGGCGAUCAUCCGUUUCACUGGCAUAUUCGCAUAGAUGUCACCCCAGCGAUCGCGGCUCACAUUCCGCAUGCUCUGCUGCGGAGCACUCUGGCCGGGCAUAACUUGUGCGGUGCCGGCGCCAGUUGUUGUCGACUGCAUGCCGCCGGGCAUUUGCCCGCCGGUUAUUUGGGUGGUGGUGUCCUCCACCUCGCUAACCAUGUUGUGCGGCACAUAGCCUCGACGACCCCGCAGCUCGCCCCAAUAGAAGCCAUCCGCAUCCUUAUCACCAAAGACCUGUGCCACAGAGCGUGAAAGAGAGUAGUGUUAGCAGGGCCGACUUCAACCAAGGAGCUGGGCAUAUAUGGUAUACUCAUAAUGGCUAGUUGGUAGUGUAUAUGUAGAGUGCAUAUUGCUAACUUAACGGUUAUUUAUGGAACUAUUAGAGAGAAGAGAACAACUUCUACUUAGUGUGUGUGGUCGGGUUGUUGGGUAUAUAGUAUUGUAUGGUAUAUUCGUAAUUACAUUUAGUUAAGUAAGAGUA